rnacentral:lncRNA from 9 species
CAUAGGCCACAUUAACCAAAUGUUGGUGGGCCAUCACUUAGAAAUCCUGCCAUUUUAUGUUCUUAUUAUCUGCGAAAAACUGUUGUAAAAUACACUAGAGAAGUAGAAGAAAUCUAUUUUGAUCUGUGUUUGAAAAAAAAACUAUGAAACUAAUUUCAAAUCCCUACUAGUCUAGUUUAAGUCACUAAUUUUCUCCCUUCCUCCUUCCUUAUUUCUUCUCUCCCUCUCCUCCUCCCCUUCUCCUCUGUCUCUCAGUCUGUCUGUCUGUCUGUCUCUCUCUCCCUCUCUUGCACGCACAUGUGCAUUAAAUCAUUAUGUUUUUUGAGAUUCUCAGAGAGACUGGAGUUUUUACAAUCUGCUAAAGCUCGAGAGAGGUUUUGUAUUUUUCUCUACUCAUGAUAAGCCAAAGAUGGCUUUGCAGCAGAUGGCUUUGCAGCUUUGGGGAUCUUCCUGAGAGAAUGGAAACCCUCUCAGUGUCCAGACUUUGUAAGCAACAAGAAGAUAUAUUUCCUCCUAGGAUACAGCACCUACGCAGGGGGAAUACCAACAUGCUCGAUUCCUGCAAUAACAAAGCCCUAGAGGAUGAGAGAGCCAAAUGAUUUAAAAGACUUGGAGUUCUGACUUACUACGUGAAUGAGAGCUACCUAGUGAAGAGGACAACUGCAUCGGAUUGUAUGAGUAAGGAAUAAACUUCCAUUGUGUUUGGGCACUGGCAUUUGGGAGUAUUAUAUUAUCAUGGCCUCCUUAUCCUAAGACACUGAGAUAUAAAUAUGUAUCAUUAUUUUUACAGGGUUCAAAUUUUCAUACACUUAUCUUGAAGCAAAAUUAUAUAUUAACAGACGUAAUUUAAAAUCUACAAUUUUGGUUUUGGUAUUCCCUAAUUGGUAAUUGGUAAUUUACACAUGAAAUAAAGACAUGACUGUUGAUUUUAUUAAUAUUGAACAUUGCCAAAAUACUUAAAUGAGUAUUUUGCUGACCGAGUAAAACUGUCAAAAACAUGUGUGCCUCUUAUAUUCCUGUAUAUGUAAGGUGAUCCUUCCUCUACAUUUAAAAUUAACACACCACUUUCUUUUCUUUCCAUUUUAUCAUCUACACAAUACAACAUAAAUCAAAGCAAUUUUACUUAUCAUUACUAAGUUCUUCUGAGAACU